rnacentral:rRNA from 1 species
GGCGGACGGGUGAGUAACGCGUAAGAACUUGCCCUUUAGACUGGGAUAACAGAGGGAAACUUCUGAUAAUACUGGAUAAGUUAGUAUAUCGCAUGAUAUGCAAAUGAAAGCUACGGCACUAAAGGAGAGCUUUGCGUCCCUAUUAGCUAGUUGGUAAGGUAAGAGCUUACCAAGGCGAUGAUAGGUAGCCGGCCUGAGAGGGUGGACGGCCACAAGGGGACUGAGAUACGGCCCUUACUCCUACGGGAGGCAGCAGAA